AACAUAUAUUGUGAAUAGUAUCUUUGAUUUUAUGCUUUUUCUCCAAGAUAUUUUUCUAGAUUUUUAAAAUAUUGGAGCCAAAAACCCUAGCAUCAUUCAGCGCUAUAAAUAUCAACGUCAUUCUCAUUUCCAAUUCAUCACUCAAAUUCCUCUUAGCUUAGCAACUCAAUCGUAGUAUUUUUCUUAUGGUUGUGAGAUUCUAUAAGAAAACAAUAAGUUUUUUUGUUAUGUCUGAUUAAUUAUCCAUAUAGGAUUUAUUUCUUAUAAACGUUGUAUUUAGCUUCAUUGUUUAGAGUUACGAAUUAGAUGGAUGAAGGUGGUAUAACUAAUAUUUGAUUUCUUUUGUUGUUGUUGGUGUGGUUCUUCUUUUGCGCAAGUAGCUUUAGUUCUUAUUACAAGUCGGUUUUUAUUGGUUAUGUGCUUAGAAGAAGUUUGAUCAUUUGUUAGACAAUUAUUAUUUUUGAAUUUGGAUUAUCAUGUUUUCCUUUUCAUUGAUUAUGAGUUUUUUCUUCUUUGUGCUUCCUUAUCGCUUCAUUGUCAAUCAAUGGUAGAAGAGUUUCCUCAUUUAACUUUACUUUGUGAUUGUUAUAUGACUGUAGGAGUUUUCUCCAGCUGCGGGAAGGUACCAUGUCAUGUGGGUAUCUUUCCUUGACUCGCUAAAGCUUCUCCUGAUUCUAUCUUGAUCAUUGUUUCUUAUCAUGUCGAUGUUUUGACUUAUGUUGCUUGGAAACUCUCUGGUUUUCCGGUGAAUCGAAUUCUUGGAUCAGGUUAUCUUUUUUUUAACAUUAAGAAAGAAGACAUAGAGUUUGUAAACGAAAAGACAGCUGCUAAAUAUGGUUUAGUUGCAGCUCCUAUUAUUGUGGAAAAGACUGCGUCUUCCACAAUGGUUGCGGAGCCAGUGGUGGUCAAGGCAUGUGAGCCAAUUCUGGAGAAACAACAACGUGAGCUCUUCAAAUAGAUGUUGGAUGAUAAAAAGAAAAGAAAAUUCGAAUAAUGCAGAAGAGAAGAAACGGAUUGACUAAGAGAAAGUGAUUAUGGGCAAGGUUAGUCAAAUUUCAGCAAAGUAUGAGUUCAAGUAUAUGAACAUUUGAGUCCCCCUUUUUUUAUCUCUCCACAUAAGUAUAGGCUCAAGUAUAUGAACACGUUUUAUGUGUUCAGUUUUGUUGAAUACUUAUUUUUUAUGAGUUUGAAUUCUUUUUGUUACUUAUGUUCUUGAA